rnacentral:rRNA from 1 species
GAUGAACGCUGGCGGCGUGCCUAAUACAUGCAAGUCGAGCGAACAGACGAGGAGCUUGCUCCUCUGACGUUAGCGGCGGACGGGUGAGUAACACGUGGAUAACCUACCUAUAAGACUGGGAUAACUUCGGGAAACCGGAGCUAAUACCGGAUAACAUGUUGAACCGCAUGGUUCAACAGUGAAAGACGGUCUUGCUGUCACUUAUAGAUGGAUCCGCGCCGCAUUAGCUAGUUGGUAAGGUAACGGCUUACCAAGGCAACGAUGCGUAGCCGACCUGAGAGGGUGAUCGGCCACACUGGAACUGAGACAAGGUCCAGACUCCUACGGGAGGCAGCAGUAGGGAAUCUUCCGCAAUGGGCGAAAGCCUGACGGAGCAACGCCGCGUGAGUGAAGAAGGUCUUCGGAUCGUAAAACUCUGUUAUUAGGGAAGAACAAAUGUGUAAGUAACUAUGCACGUCUUGACGGUACCUAAUCAGAAAGCCACGGCUAACUACGUG